AGUACAAUUGCUGGAUUGCAUGGUUAAGUGCAUGUUUAUUUUAAGAAACUGACUGAUUUUUUCCAAAAUGGCUGUAUCAUUUUGCAUUGUCAUAAGCAAU
rnacentral:pre_miRNA from 1 species